rnacentral:rRNA from 1 species
AUACGUAGGUGGCAAGCGUUGUCCGGAUUUAUUGGGCGUAAAGCGAGCGCAGGCGGUUCUUUUAGUCUGAUGUGGAAGGCCCCGGCUCCACCGGGGCGGGUCAUUGGAAACUGGAGGACUUUGGUGCAGACGAGGGGAGUGGGAUUUCAUGUGUAGCGGGGUAAUGCGUAGAUAUAUGGAGGAACACCAGUGGAGAAGGCGGCUCUCUGGUCUGUAACUGACGCUGAGGCUCGAAAGCGUGGGGAGCAAACAGGAUUAGAUACCCUGGUAGUCCACGCCGUAAACGAUGAGUGCUAAGUGUUGGAGGGUUUCCGCCCUUCAGUGCUGCAGCUAACGCAUUAAGCACUCCGCCUGGGGAAUACGGCCGCAAGGCUGAAACUCAAAUGAAUUGGCGGGG